UGCAUAUCAAAAAAGCGGAGGAAAAGAAACCAACAGGGAUUGCCUUAGUAACGCGGCGAGUGAGCGGCAAAGCUCAAAUUUGAAAUCUGGCACCUUCGGUGUCCGAGUUGUAAUUUGAAGAAGGUAACUUUGGAGUUAGCUCUUGUCUAUGUUCCUUGGAACAGGACGUCACAGAGGGUGAGAAUCCCGUGCGAUGAGAUGUCUAACUCUAUGUAAAGUGCUUUCGAAGAGUCGAGUUGUUUGGGAAUGCAGCUCUAAGUGGGUGGUAAAUUCCAUCUAAAGCUAAAUAUUGGCGAGAGACCGAUAGCGAACAAGUACAGUGAUGGAAAGAUGAAAAGAACUUUGAAAAGAGAGUGAAAAAGUACGUGAAAUUGUUGAAAGGGAAGGGUUUGAGAUCAGACUUGGUAUUUUGUAUGUCUUGCUUUCGGGUGGGGCCUCUGCAGUUUACUGGGCCAGCAUCGGUUUGGAUGGUAGGAUAAUGACAUUGGAAUGUGGCACUACUUCGGUGGUGUGUUAUAGACUUUGUUGAUACUGCCUGUCUAGACCGAGGACUGCGUCUUUGACUAGGAUGCUGGCAUAAUGAUCCUAAACCGCCCGUCUUGAAACCACGGACCA
rnacentral:rRNA from 1 species